GGGGCGGAGCUUGACCGCCGACGAAGAUGGACUCGAACUAAGGGAGCUCCGAGGUGGCAGACACUCACACCAGCUCACAACAGGGGCAAUAGAGCCUACAUACCGCCACAACCCGGGCGCUACCACCCUGACCAACACUGGGACGCACUGACAUGGGCGGAGGGAGGAAGUCCAAAUCUGGAGCGGCCGUAGCACCGAUUUUUAAACCUAGGCCGGACAGAGAGGCGCCACGAGGCCUAAG